AUUGAACGCUGGCGGCAGGCCUAACACAUGCAAGUCGAACGGUCACAGGAAACAGCUUGCUGUUUCGCUGACGAGUGGCGGACGGGUGAGUAAUGUCUGGGACACUCCCUGAUGGAGGGGGAUAACUACUGGAAACGGUAGCUAAUACCGCAUAACGUCGCAAGCCCAAAGAGGGGGACCCUCGGGCCUCUUGCCAUCGGCUGUGCCCAGAUGGGAUUGGCUUGUUGGUGGGGUAACGGCUCACCAAGGCGCCGAUCGCUACCUGGUCUGAGAGGAGGACGGGCCACACGGGAACUGGGACACGGUCAAGACUCCUAGGGGAGGCAGCAGUGGGAAAUAUUGGACAAUGGGGGCAAGCCGGAUGCAGCCAGGCCGCGGGGAGGAAGAAGGCCUUCGGUUGGUAAAGUACGUUCAGCGGGGAGGAAGGGAGUGAAGUUAAUACCGUUCGUCAUUGACGUUACUCGUAGAAGAAGCACCGGCUAACUCCGUG
rnacentral:rRNA from 1 species